UUCUAGUAACCCUUCAGACCUUGAUUAGCUUGUUCAGGUGUGUUUGAUUAGGGUUGAAGCAAAACUCUCCAGGACCGACAUUCAUCACCCCUGGUAUAUAGCAUAGCACAACAGUGUGUUGCUAAAUAGAAAAUGCUUUGUUAGUAGAGCAGAAGUUCAAAAAUCUACAGGGCCAUCCAGAACAGCAGGACAAAAUAUUUCUUGUUGAGCUGCUGUGACUGCUGGUCAUGUUGACAUCAUCAAACAGUUGAGAUUCAUUGGGCUCCUAUUUGUCAUAGUUAAAGAUCUGAAAAGAGUCCUGAGGUCACCCUGUCAUCUGGACACACAGCUGAAGGAGUGGCAGUGGAUCAAGGAGAGGGCUGUUAGCGAUUUUAGCGAACUUCUGUGCUGUGCUGCGAGUGUCUUGUUUCAUGUCUUCUAUCCACGUCUCCCCAUGAGACCGCAUCAAUCAGAGCACGGAUAUCCUGCUGAAAGUCACUCAAAUAUAGUUCUUUCCUGAUCCCACUUUUCAUUCCAAACUCUGAAAGGUUCGUCUGACUUCAGCACUUUCAUUCCAGCCAAAUUGAAGUUAAGUGGUCAUAAGUGGUGAAAGUGAAGAUAAAAUCAGCUCCAGAGUGCCACAGUAACAUUUACUAUCAGACACAAUAAAGACAUGUCAGUGAAAAUACAACGUCUGCCAACAGUUUUAAACUCAAUCUAGCAAAUGGAUGCUACAGCAGUUGUGUGCGUGACAUUAUUAGCCACUGGCGUUGUAUGUUCAGAUGAAUCUAUAAUUGGCUGGCUGGGUUCUGGAGUGAUGAGUCUUCUGUUGUCUUUGCACUAGAGAGAUGCUCUGUCUGGUUUGGAGACACAACCCUGUGGAACAUGAUGAGUUGUGUGAACGGCUGACUGGAUGCUCUGAGGGCAGCUGGCAUCACCAGUGGAUAUGGGUGUGUUUGCUCAGGCCAUGCUGUGUGUGUGUUUGUGAGGGGACGUGUGUGUUCAAUGAGAAGAAAUUUGCUCUGUUUAUUAGCUUUGCAACAUCAGCUGUGUGUUUCAUAACUUCAGUUUAAUCCAUGUUAAAUGACUUUCUGCAUGAUAUGUGGGGUGUGUGAAUUACUUUUCCCACCACAUACAGUAUAAGUAGGGUUGGUGAAUUUUCAGAUUUUAUCGACUGAUUCGAAUUUAAUGUUUUGCCAUGAUUUUAUUUUUCAUAAAUUGAGAAAUCACAAUUUUGAAUAGAAAUAUUACCAAACGUUAGAAUUAGACACUUUGACAAUAUGGCAAUGAUAA